GACGAACCGUGCGAACGUUGUUCGGAUUCACUGGGCUUAAAGGGCGCGUAGGCGGGCCGCCAAGUCUGUGGUGAAAGCCCCCGGCUCAACCGGGGAAGUGCCGCGGAUACUGGCGGUCUCGAGGGGUGUAGGGGCAUGCGGAACUUCCGGUGGAGCGGUGAAAUGCGUAGAUAUCGGAAGGAACGCCGGUGGCGAAAGCGGCGUGCUGGACACCUACUGACGCUGAGGCGCGAAAGCCAGGGGAG
rnacentral:rRNA from 1 species